UUUAUGAGCAUCAGAAGGACUUCACAUCAAAUCCUGAAGAGGGCGCAGUUCACACACACUGCUGACACAAACUCCUCCCUUCCAUUUUCCAUCUCAUUUGUUAUUGUAAACUCACUCAAUACGAACCAUAUCUCAACUCAUUGGAUGAUUUAUUUGUUCUUCAUGUUUCAGUCAGCACAUAAAAUGAAGACCCUGAUGAUGUUGGUGAUUUUGGUAUUGAUUUGUUAUGAGUGUCGUGGAGAAGAGAAAGUUGAUCAGCCAGACAAACAAAUCACUGAAUCUGAAGGAGGAUCAGUAACUUUACACUGUAAAUACAAAACAGCUUCAUCUCAGGCAUGUCUCUUCUGGUACAUUCAGAGAGUAAAUGACUUUCCUAAAGACAACCUGAGGAGAAGUAAAUAUGGAGGAGAUAAUGGCAGUGAGUUUCAGGAGAGAUUUCAGUCUGAAGUGAAGUCAGAUUCAGUUCCUCUGAUAAUUCAUGAUGUAGAUGUGAGUGACUCUGCUGUGUAUUACUGCGCUCUGAAGCCCACAGUCACUAAACACACUCAACCUCCUCACAAGAACUAACACAU